GCGGGUGUGGCGGAAUUGGCAGACGCGCUGGAUUUAGGUUCCAGUGGGGCAACCCGUGCAGGUUCAAUUCCUGUCGCCCGCA
rnacentral:tRNA from 1 species